rnacentral:rRNA from 1 species
UACGUAGGGGGCUAGCGUUGUCCGGAAUCAUUGGGCGUAAAGCGCGUGUAGGCGGUCCGGUAAGUCCGCUGUGAAAGUCGGGGGCUCAACCUCGAAUGCCGGUGGAUACUGUCGGGCUAGAGUGCGGAAGAGGCGAGUGGAAUUCCUGGUGUAGCGGUGAAAUGCGUAGAUAUCAGGAGGAACACCGGUGGUGUAAACGGCUUCUGGACCAUAACUGACGC